AAUGCAAAUGGAUUUGAGACUGAGCGACUCCCAUCUCUAUGGUUGGUAUGUGACCCAUCUAUCCUCUGGAGGACUCAGCAAGGACUACCAAUCACCAGACAAGUUUACGCGCACGUGGUCGCAAGUUGAACUUGCUAUUGGUUAACGGCAGUAAAGCCCGCCCAUCAGCGCUGGUCGGCUCCUUUAAGAGAACGCCAUCGCCACCUGCCUGUCUUUCAGCGCCUGCAGAUUCCGGGAGGUCAGCUCCCAGCCGAGGACGUCGGAUGUCAUCGUCCUUGCUGCUUUGCCACCCCAUUCCCGUCAAUAAAGUGGUUUGAACCCAA